rnacentral:rRNA from 1 species
GGCGGCAUGCCUUACACAUGCAAGUCGAACGGUAACAGGUUAAGCUGACGAGUGGCGAACGGGUGAGUAAUAUAUCGGAACGUGCCCAGUCGUGGGGGAUAACUGCUCGAAAGAGCAGCUAAUACCGCAUACGACCUGAGGGUGAAAGCGGGGGAUCGCAAGACCUCGCGCGAUUGGAGCGGCCGAUAUCAGAUUAGGUAGUUGGUGGGGUAAAGGCCCACCAAGCCAACGAUCUGUAGCUGGUCUGAGAGGACGACCAGCCACACUGGGACUGAGACACGGCCCAGACUCCUACGGGAGGCAGCAGUGGGGAAUUUUGGACAAUGGGCGCAAGCCUGAUCCAGCCAUGCCGCGUGCGGGAAGAAGGCCUUCGGGUUGUAAACCGCUUUUGUCAGGGAAGAAAAGGUUCUGGUUAAUACCUGGGACUCAUGACGGUACCUGAAGAAUAAGCACCGGCUAACUACGUGCCAGCAGCCGCGGUAAUACGUAGGGUGCAAGCGUUAAUCGGAAUUACUGGGCGUAAAGCGUGCGCAGGCGGUUAUGCAAGACAGAGGUGAAAUCCCCGGGCUCAACCUGGGAACUGCCUUUGUGACUGCAUGGCUAGAGUACGGUAGAGGGGGAUGGAAUUCCGCGUGUAGCAGUGAAAUGCGUAGAGAUCUGGAGGAAUACCGAUGGCGAAGGCAGCCAUCUGGCCUAAUACUGACGCUGAGGUACGAAAGCAUGGGGAGCAAACAGGAUUAGAUACCCUGGUAGUCCAUGCCGUAAACGAUGUCUACUAGCCGUUGGGGCCUUUGAGGCUUUAGUGGCGCAGCUAACGCGAUAAGUAGACCGCCUGGGGAGUACGGUCGCAAGACUAAAACUCAAAUGAAUUGACGGGGGCCCGCACAAGCGGUGGAGCAUGUGGUUUAAUUCGAUGCACCGCGAAGAACCUUACCUGGUCUUGACAUAGUAAGAACUUUCCAGANAUGGAUUGGUGCCUUCGGAACUUACAUACAGGUGCUGCAUGGCU